rnacentral:rRNA from 1 species
GAGUUUGAUCCUGGCUCAGAACGAACGCUGGCGGCAUGCCUAACACAUGCAAGUCGAACGAACUCUUCGGAGUUAGUGGCGCACGGGUGCGUAACGCGUGGGAAUCUGCCCUUGGGUACGGAAUAACUCAGAGAAAUUUGUGCUAAUACCGUAUAAUGACUCCGGUCCAAAGAUUUAUCGCCCAAGGAUGAGCCCGCGUAAGAUUAGCUAGUUGGUGGGGUAAAGGCCUACCAAGGCUACGAUCUUUAGCUGGUCUGAGAGGAUGAUCAGCCACACUGGGACUGAGACACGGCCCAGACUCCUACGGGAGGCAGCAGUGGGGAAUAUUGGACAAUGGGCGAAAGCCUGAUCCAGCAAUGCCGCGUGAGUGAUGAAGGCCUUAGGGUUGUAAAGCUCUUUACCCGGGUAUGAUAAUGACAGUACCGGG